rnacentral:rRNA from 1 species
GUGGGGAAUCUUGCGCAAUGGGCGAAAGCCUGACGCAGCCAUGCCGCGUGAAUGAUGAAGGUCUUAGGAUUGUAAAAUUCUUUCACCGGGGACGAUAAUGACGGUACCCGGAGAAGAAGCUCCGGCUAACUUCGUGUCAGCAGCCGCGGUAAUACGAAGGGGGCUAGCGUUGCUCGGAAUUACUGGGCGUAAAGGGCGCGUAGGCGGACAGCUUAGUCAGAGGUGAAAGCCCAGGGCUCAACCUUGGAAUUGCCUUUGAUACUGGCUGUCUUGAGUUUGGGAGAGGUGAGUGGAACUCCGAGUGUAGAGGUGAAAUUCGUAGAUAUUCGGAAGAACACCAGUGGCGAAGGCGACUCACUGGCCCAAUACUGACGCUGAGGCGCGAAAGCGUGGGGAGCAAACAGGAUUAGAUACCCGAGUAGUCC